rnacentral:hammerhead_ribozyme from 1 species
AUCCAGCUGAUGAGUCCAAAAAUAGGACGAAACGCGCGUCCUGGAU